rnacentral:tRNA from 1 species
GGGUUUAUAGGUGAUACCCCGACGACUCAUAAUCGGCAGGUCCCCAGUUCAAGUCUGGGUGGGCCCACCA